UGGGGGUUGAAGCACAGCGAGGGUUUCGGUACUCUCCAGUAGCUGCGUGCACUGUAGGCCUUGACCUUGGCUGGAGCGCUAAGUUCCGACUGUGUUUAAGGCAAGGAUUUUCAAGGUCAGAACUUUUCAGCAGAGAAGCUUCGAUGACGGUUGCGGCCGUCAGGCAGGCGUUGGAGUUAGAACACACAGUGGACAGGCUUGGCCCUGGUGGCUCAGCCCAGCGGGGUUUCUUGCCUGCAGUGUCUGAAAGGAUGUGCUGGGGAACUACCCUCUGCGUGACAGCUGCAGUGAAUUCUGAUUUAUGGCUGCUGUGCCUCCCUCUGCCACCUGGGGCUAGGAGCUUUUGGAAAGGCUUUCUGGCAGCCAGUGCAGGUCGUUCCAUUCCUGGUGCUCCCUGGCCCGCUGGGGCACUGUGCACCCUCCCUCUGCUGGCCGCGUGGAGGGGAGAAGGCGGUCCACCUGCCUGGCCUGCCUCCCGGGAGCCUGGUGGAGCUGCCCCCCGCCUGGCGGUUCCCAACCCCCCUCUGCCUGCAGCAAGGCCGGGGCUCGCUGCGCGCCUGCUCCAGCUCCUGCGCUCUGGGGAGCCGGCCUUGUAAGGCCUCCCCGGCUACACCCUGUCCCUGCCCCCUUGCCAGGCAGUGUUCCUUUGGCCCUGUCUGCCCUCGCUCGUUCUCACACGUGACCAAUAUUUCGUGCCAUCUCCUCUCCCAGGCUCCAAAGCCCCUGCACUAUAGGAUGAUCAUUCCUUCUCCUUAUUAAAUUAACAAAUGUUUAUUGACUAACCACCAUGGGCCAGGCACUGAGCUAAGUGCUAAGGAGCAGGAGAGCCAUGGUCUUGACCCUUGUGGGGCUAACAGCCGAGCAAAUAAGCAAGUACACAGCAAACAAACAAAUAGGUUACAGAGAGUGUAACACGGUCCCCGAAGAAAGCAGAGCUUAUGUGACUAGAAGGGGAUGGAAACUUCUUUCAGCACAUGGACAGGAAGUGACGGUCCUGUUGAGGACUUGAAGGAGGAAAGUGCCUGAGGCUCAAAGUCCUGUGUGUCUGUCAGCUGGCUGCUGUCCCCUUCUAGGCACACUCCGGGAGAAGCUGACCCAGGGGCUCUGCAAGUGCAAGGCCCUCUGGUAAAGUAGGCUUCAUUUUCUAGAAACUGAUGGACACCUGGUGUGAGAGCACAGUGAUUCGGGGGUAGUGGUAAGAUAUGCAACAGUGAACCUGACUUGUCUUACAGGAGUUCCUAAUUUCAUACCAAACUGCCCGUGGCAUGGUCUUCCCCUUAUGUAGCCCAGGUCCCAAACCUUGGGGCGAUCCCUAACCCUCUCUCAAACGCUAGAGCCAGCUACCAGGCAGCUCCAGGGUUCUAGACGCUGGCCACCUCUGCCCACCUCCACCACGGCCAUCCUAUUCCAGCCCUGUAGGACGAUGCCUACCGGGUCUCCAGCUUCCCCUCCCACCCCUCACCCCCGGAAAUCAAGUCAGCGAUGGCACCGUUCUGCACAAACCCUCUCAGAGCUGCCAGCUCUGGGAGAUUCAGACUGUAGUGUAAUGUGGUAACACUUAUGCGCUACACAGUGCUGUAAUUACCCAUGAGAACCGUCAUGCUCCUGAACUCUUACCUCCAUUCCUUCCCAUCCACUCUGCUCCUGCCGCCACCCUGCUUUCCUGAAACAGGCUGAGCACACUCCCACCUCAGGGCCUUUGCACUUGCUCCUUUCUCUGCUGGAGCACUUCCUGCCCCCGCUCCCCACACCAGAUACUGACAUGACUCCCUCUCUUAAAGCUCUCUAAUGCCUCUGCUGAAACAUCAAUUUAUUAUGGGCACUCCGUCUCCUCCUUUUCCCAGCUUCCCCCAACAUCCACCCCAGGAGCUUGUUUUUGUUCCCUCCAUGACAUUUUUGGUCUAAUACAUUUGUUAUUCAUUUUCUUGCUUGUUGUCUAUGUCUCCCCACUCAUUGGAAAAAAGAGCUUUGUCUUGUUCACUGUUGUAUCUCCAGCACAGAACACAUUGCUUGGCAUGUGGCAGACAUUCAAAAAAUAUUUGCUGAAAAAAUAUAUGCAAAAUAUAGAUAGCGCCAGACCAUGGAGAACAUUCUAGACCAUGUUAGAUGAUGUGGAUUUUCUUCUAAAAGCAAUAAGAAGCCAUUGGAAAGGUUUAAGCAGUGGAAGAAGUGAUCUGCCUUCUAUUUUGAGUUUACUGUGAAUGUGGUGUGGAGAAUGACCAGAAGCAGGAGGCCAGAGAAAGAGGUGGUGGAAAAGCCCAGUAAAGAGGCCAGUGGCUUGGACCAGGAUGGUGUCAGUGGAUAUGAAGCAAAGGCUAUAAGCAAAGUAACUGGCAGAUCAGCUGGGAAAAAGCCAGUGUCCAGGUCCAGAAGGUCUCCUCGUAUGGUCCUGGUCCUACGUGAUUCGCCAUCAGCAGCCUGAAGGCCAAGGACAGCCCCACUGCGUGGGCUCUUGGGCAGAAGGAGGAGGACUAGACUCUGAGCUCAUCUUCUGCAGAUGGGAGUUUGAGCUGAGCCACCCACACUUCUCCCCUUAUGCCCAACAAUGAGCAUCUUCACAGCAAGGGCUAUGCUGUUCCUCUGUAUCUCUCUCCCCCAGCCCAAUGCUCACACAUGCAUAUGCCUGAAGGGAUUCGGUACUGUUGCAGGUUGGUGUCUCUGAGAGCAGAUGCCGAAACAGACUGGAGGACAAGAGGUUUAUUGGGGUCAACACCUGUGCAAGGAAAGGAAGGAAGCAGCAGUGAACAGCAGGAGAAGUCCAUUAUGAUGUAAGCCCCACCAAGCCUGGCCAACCUGGUGGGGAGUUGGGGAGCAGUUAUCACCCACUCCAAGUUGGGCCCAAAUGGCCAGGCCUUGCGCCACUGAAUAUAGGCCCGUUUAGGAAGGGCAUACCCCCGGGUGAGACAGCACUCUGCAGUUGAGGCAGAUUCUGAAGGAGCUGAUAACAGGAGGCAUUUGCUGCCAGCAUUUCGGCUGGAUCCCUUCCUUUAAGGGAUCUCUGUAUCUGCCAUGGAGAGGAUCUAACUGUGGGCUGUUAGGCCAAGAUGCAGGGCCCCUCCCUCUGCAGUGAGAACUGGCUCUCAGGAAGAGUUUCUGCAACAGCUUGGCUCUUUCUAGGCCUCUCGGCUGACUGACCCGCCUGACCUCAUGAAUAAGCCACUGGCCAUGUAUCAGAGCAUCUCUUCAGACUCCAGGGAGUGCUUCUAGACCGGGGUGGAUAUUUUGAAAUUAAUUUAGUGGACCAUUUUAGAGUUAUUUCAGCAUCUGUGGUAUCGUGGAAAGAUCCAGGCUCCGUGGUCAGGUACUCCAGCAUUCUAAUACUGCAUCUACUACACGCCGACCCCGUGACCCCAAGCAAGUUAACAAGCCUUCUGGGAGUAUUUUCCUUCUUCUGUAAAACGUGUGGAAUGAUGCUCAAAAGCCAGGCACUUGAGAUUAAGGGCUGUGUCUUACUAGCCUCGUCUUCUCAUUGGCCUGUAGGUGUCCCUUGAAUGAACGUCACUCACUAUGGUAUGCGUGCCCUGUCUUAUGCAGUGGUAAGUGCUGGGGGUGAGGGGUUGCUGUUCACACCGACAGAUCUGAGUGGGAGUUACCCACUUCUGCUGCCGGAGGCUCCUCCAUCUGACUGCCACUUCACUCCACCAUGCAGGGUUCAUGGCUGGAAACUUAGCCCCAGCCCAGAGACUUGCCCAGAGCUGGUGCCUGCCACCCAUUGGCUGCCAUGAUGGAAAUCUGCGAUAACUCAACGGGGCCUCAAUGGCACCCCAACAGCUCGCGACAUUCUCUGGGAAUGAGUCCCAAUUUUACCCCGACCUCAGCCCAUCUUUCAGGAAUCUCAUUGGUACAGCACGCAGCAUGCUGGCCCCAGCUGGACUCUAAAGUUGUUCAUGAGUAAAGCAUCUGCCAUAGUUUGCUGGCUUACUGGGAUUUCAUGUCACCCUGGUAAAGCUCUCCUGAGCUCCUUCCUGUCAGCUCUCUUCCACCGACAGAUAUUUGUGUUUUCUUUAGGUUAUGCGAGGAAAAGACUGCCAUCCCACAGGGCACGUGCCACAGCUAUCGGUUGCCUGUGCCUGUGAUGUAAUGAGGCCUAUGUCCCAGAAGACUUAAGUCAGCAACCUCUUCCGGGGACCACCAGGAUUGAUGAGAACACUGAGUCACAGAAGAUCAGCUAGUCCGUUGCAGAGCCAGGGUUUGAACCCCGGCAGUCUGACUCUAGAGUUGAUGCUUCAACUAUGACCGUUUGCUACGUUAGACCAUCGAGGGGAGGUCUGCAGAAGGCGCAUGUAUGUUAAGUGCUGUGGCAUUGAGCACAGACAUGGUGAGAGCAGAGGAAAUCAUCAUGGGGAGAUGAGGCAACCAGACAUUACUUCCCAGAGGAGGUGAGGUCUAAGCCGAGAGCGAAGGUGGGGCUCCUUGCUAGGCAAGGUGGAUGGGCACAGGGGCUCGGGGCCAGAGAAAAGGAAAUGCAAAAGUCUCAUGGUGAGAGAGAGCAUGGCUUGUUUAAAGAAUAGAAGGAAUUCAGGGUGGUUGAAUCACAGAUUGCAUGGCAGGAAACAUUCAGAAUGAGGUAGGAGAGCCUUAUUCACUCACUCAGCAAACAUUCAUUGAGCACCUGCUGCGUGUCAGGCAUUGAGGCAAGACAACACGGAUUGAUACAAAUAAGGUGAUGCCCUCCUGGAGCUGAUCAUCUAAAACCUGACAUGACGCCUCCUCAUCUCACCAGCGAAAAAACUUAAUUAAACUUGGAAAGAAGGCAAAAGGUGAGUAGCAUGGUCUCUCAAUAUCGACCGCCGCACUGUGUAACAGACUCACACCAAGACUGUUGCAGUGUCUAGCAACAUGCCUGUGUUUGACGUUGCUAUUUACCAGUAGUUAUGAAAUCACUGUUGGUGAAGUUAAAUGCCCCAUGUAGGUAUCUAUCAGGUAGAAAAGAUAACCUCAAAGGUGACAGUUUUACUGACCUAUAGCAUGUUAACAAAUUUUAUCUGUCUCAGUGCGUUGCUUUUCUAUCGUUGCCAUAGCAAAUAACUACUGACUCAGUGGCUUAAGAGGACACCAGUGUAUCAUUUUACAGCUUGAAAGGUCAAAAGGUCAAAGCAGGUGUCACCACACUGAAACCAAUUUGUAUGUAGACUGCAUUGCCUUCUGGAGGCUCAAGGGCAGAAUCCUUUUCCUGCUCAUUCUGGUUGUGGGAAGAAUACACCUUUUCAGGUGUAGAACAGAGGCCCUUGCGUUCUUGCCAACUGUAAAGUGAGGGCCAUUUGUAGCUGACCGAGGCUUCUGUUUCUUAGCCUGUGGCCCUCUUCCUCAGUCUCAAUGAGAAAGAACGAAAUAUGGCCCUUUGUAGCAACGUGGAUGGAACUGGAGAGUGUGAUGCUAAGUGAAAUAAGCCAUACAGA